ACCAGCUCGCUCCUAAGCACAGCCAAAAUCCUUCCCGGGCUAAGCCCAGUGUGGGGUUCGCCUGCCCUGCUUCAGACGGAUUGAAGAUCAGAUCAGAUACAGCGGAAGAAAGAACUACUGGACUGGAAGGCCCUGUGGAUAGAGAGUGAGACAGACAAGUCCCUGUCCUCAUGGGGCACACACUCAAGGCUUGGGGGCAUGGGGAGCAGAUCAUCAAUAGGAUGACACAGAAAGAAGCAUAUUUUAAUUUUGAUAAGCGGUACGAAGGAAUACAAUAAAUACAAUAAACACACUUGAUUUGUCAUGUUUGCCAAUUACCAACAUGACUCACCAGACGGAGAUGGGAAGAGAUGCCUGCAGCCCCCGGCGAGCGUUUCCUCCACGCAGUGAGCCUCAGGGACUCAGCACUCGGUUUAGGAAGAAGACACUUUUUUUUCUGGUUAUUGAAAUCUUCUUUUAAGAAGACACCUUA
rnacentral:lncRNA from 1 species